GACGAACGCUGGCGGCGUGCUUAACACAUGCAAGUCGAACGAUGAAGAAGAGCUUGCUCUUCGGAUUAGUGGCGAACGGGUGAGUAACACGUGACUAACCUGCCCCUUUCUCUGGGAUAACGCUCCGAAAGGAGUGCUAAUACCGGAUACUCACAUCGAGGCACAUGCCUUGAUGUGGAAAGUUUUUCGGAAAGGGAUGGAGGCGCGGCCUAUCAGCUUGUUGGUGAGGUAACGGCUCACCAAGGCGACGACGGGUAGCCGGCCUGGGAGGGCGACCGGCCACACUGGGACUGAGACACGGCCCAGACUCCUACGGGAGGCAGCAGUGGGGAAUAUUGCACAAUGGGCGAAAGCCUGAUGCAGCGACGCCGCGUGAGGGAUGAAGGUCUUCGGAUUGUAAACCUCUUUCAGUAGGGACGAAGCGAAAGUGACGGUACCUAAAGAAGAAGCACCGGCUAACUACGUGCCAGCAGCCGCGGUAA
rnacentral:rRNA from 1 species